UAUUUUAAGAUGAUACUAUUAUAAACAUAAUGGUUAAAACAUAACUUUACGUCUUCAGCCAAUACUUUUUCGUAAUCUAUAUAUAAUCACAAACAUAUUUUGUACCCGCUGACAUCAUUUUUCUUAUAGGAAAAAAAAAGUUUCAAUCCGGUGGUCAGAACUUUUUGUUUUUAUGAUCUAAAGGAUACAAAAUUGUCUUGCCUACGUCAUCAAGAAAAUCGUUUUUGCAACUCCUUUCCGAAUGGUUACCUAUGAAACAACGCAAUCCAUAUAGAGAAACAAACUUGUCUUUUCAUUUUUUGAAACACAAAAAAAAUGAAAAAACAAACUUGUCUUUUCAUAGUCACUAUUAUUAUUGUUUAAAAGGAAUGGUUGAGAUUGCACACUUUUUAAUCCAAGGGUUGACCAUUUGUUUUUGACAAAAACAUAAAACGACACUACGGAAACGAAGCACUUUUCUAUAUUUUAUACUAGGGCAAGCCCGCGCUACGCGCGGGAUAUAUGUUAAUUAUGUGACAUGAUGUGUUUUUUUUUUUGUUUGGAAAACUAAUUAUAAGUUAAAUAUUAGAGUCGUUGCACAGAAAUAAGUUAACAAUUAGAGUUAUGGCAUAAGAUAAUUCGAUAAGUAUUAGUUUUCUAAUGGUGUGUUGUUAUUUGUAUAGAAUGAGAGAGUUGUUAUUGGAACUGUCGCAACAAAUCACAUCUUUAUUACCAUUUGCACUUCUAUCAUAUAUGUGAGUAAAUAUUAGUUAUUGAGUAAUGUGAUAUAAAUAUAUUAUUGAGUAGACGAAUAAUUUAAGUAGUAUUUUAAAUCGUAAACAAAGUGAUUGAUAGAUGGGCUUGUAAAUAUAACUUCAUAUGAACUUGUUUUGCGCUUAUUUUCUAAGUUAUUAAUCUUAAACUAAAAUCCUAGAAAAAAAUUUUUUCAAAAUUUUAUGUUGCCUAUUUAGACCAUUUAGGAGAUUUUAAUGUGAACUAUUGAAAGUUAUCGAGUAAGAAAUGAGUUGUAGAGAGAAGAUGAGAUUUUCCUUUACCGAGGUGGCUUCAUAGAAGAUUGAUUACGUUUUCUAUGUUUGAAUGAUUUAAUCAAGAAUGAAAGUUAAAAAAAUUUAACUAUGUUCUUUAUGUAGAUUCUAUAUCUAAAUAGAUUAUUAUAAAAAAACUUGAUCAACCACUUAAAAACUUGCGUUUGUAAUGAGGGUAUAACAAAAUUCUUUGAAAUAUUUAUAGAAUACACAAAUAAUGUAUUUGAUUAAUUGCCAGCAUAACCAAAUGGCUUAAAGACCUUUUUAUAAAAUGAUCUUUUUUUUUGGGUGGGGGGGAAGGGGGCGGGUUGAAACAUUUUUAAAGACUUUUUAUUAAAUGAAUUUUUUUCAUAAUUUUGGUUAUGACUACGUAACUUUGUUGACAGUGGUCCUUGAAGUUUGGCCAACUCUAAAUAUGAUAUAUCUUGUUGCAUUGGCCGUUCUUCAUCAUCUUGGCUAUGAUUGUUAUAGUGAUAUCUCAUGUUGUAUCGUCAUUCAGUGUGAGCAUUUCUAACGUGUGAUGGCUAUAACUUAAUGUGUUUAUUAUUACUCGUAGAUUUUUGUUACAACAGGAGAAAUAGUGAUAUAUGAGUUUGUAAAUAUUAAUUUAUUUUAUAGUUUUGCCAAAAAUAAUCUAUAUAUAUAAAUAAUUUAUAGUAGUAAUAGACUAAUGGUUAUGAGUUAAUAUUCAUUACCAUAUUUAUUGGUGCACAAAAAAAAUCAUUACCAUAUUUAAAAACUUACAAAGAUAUAAAUUUUUAAAAGUAUAAUUCUACAUGCCACAAUUAUAUAGAUAUCGUUAUUUAUAAAAAUUAUGUCAUUUUUUAAAAAUUGAAGGUGGUAUUAACAUAUAUCAACCAUUUCAUAAUUAAUGUUUAGAGAUCAGUUACAUUUAUUUUAGUGAGUCAAAUUAAUUCAAAAAGGUAUACCAUUUAAAUAAUAAAUGAAUAAUCAGAGAUACAUAUCAUUUAUAUGGUUAUUGGAUCUUAAAAAAUAUACGAUGCUUAGGCUUUGGUGUUUUAAGAAGAUAUAAUAGACAUUCGUUAUAAAAAAUAUGGAUUUAGUGAAAAUUUAGAUUUGAUAAUUUUUACAUAAAUAUAUUUUACAACUGUGAAGAAAAGUUAAACUUUUACAUUUCUAACAAAAUAUGAUUUUACAGUUGCAGCGAAAAAAUAAUAUUUUAUAUUUUGAUAAAAGUAACAUUUUUAAUGAAAAUAUGUAAUUUUUUAAUUUUUUCCAAGAUAAUUAUAAACUUUAAUUAUGCAUGUUUGCUUGCAUCUAAAUGAUUUGUGAGUAAAAUAUAUGCCACAUUUUCUAAUCUAAAAUGAAUCAUCUCAAUUUAUAGUCUGAUUUGAUUCAACCAAUUAACUUCGAUAAUUUUGCUUUAGUGUGUCAAAUUAUUCAUCUGAUUGUUUCUAAUUUGCAUUAUUAAAAUUAUUCAGAAUACUUGAUUUUCUCUUUUUCGCUUACUUGAUCAACCGGUGUAAGGCCCAUCCUGUAAGUAAAGCCCAUAAGCUUCGACCAUAUACACGUGUAACAUUGAAAGAAAAAUAAUAGAACCAUCUUUGACAUUCCCUUCUCUAAUCCCUUUCCUUUGUUAUCAAACUCCGAACAUCAAUCAUCCUUCAAUUCAAUUCAAUCUUAUUUUCGAACAUUCCUCGUAAUCGCGUUAAUGGAGAUCACUCCAUUUUCGAUUAGAUUCAAGCUCUACGAUCAACUCGAGCUUCUGGAGUUUCCCAAUAAGUUCUUCAUCAAACCAGUAGAUUCGCAUCAUCAAGGCUUCUCCGUCGAUCGCCGCGACGGCAACAUCAAACCUCUCGACGGAAAAUUAUUUAGGACAUGAAUCUGUAUUUCAUUUCGCGAGCUGUUGUGCCAGCUGUUGUGUUUGAUGUGACUAUUCAGUUGGUCUAUUUUGCCAGAAUAGCUUCUCACUUCUUCUUCUCAGAUAGAUCUUUGAGUAUUGCCAGCCUCACCACCCAUCUGGCAUGAUCCCUCGCCGAUCGUUUUAGCCUCUUCGUGUUAUUCACCGGCACCACUGUUGAUUUCACCUUUUUGAUCCACCGGCGAACUUCUUCACCCGUCUGAACCGCGUCAACCGCAUACCAAUCGUCAAAAUCUUUGCUUUUUUCUUUUUUUUUCUUGUUUUGUUUUUGGAUUUCUCGUUUUGAAUGAGUUAUGGAACCACUGGAGAAUUGUGGUGGCUGUGGCUGUGAAGAAGCGAUGUUCAAGACGGUGGAGAAGAUAUAUUCAACAAUAAACCAAUUCUUCAGAAUGCGAGGAAGUAGAUCUGUAUUUGCAAGCUGUCAUCGGCCAACUUUCGAAUAGGAGAAGGUUCGAGGUGGCUAUGUUGGUGUUCAUGCUUCGAAGAGAAAAUGAGAUUGAUUUGUUGGAAGUGAUAUGCAUUUCAUGGAAGAUCAAAACCUUAUUUAUAGAUCAAGGUUUCAUGCCGUUUAUGGAGUAAUGAAGGGUCUUGAAUGCACGAUAGUGGGGGAGAGUGGGGUAAAGACUUUAGUGCAUUUUUCUUUGAAGGCGGUGACUAUGUUCCGUAUGGGCUAAUAACGAUGGGCCUGUUAUGUAGUUUAGUUAUUAUAGAAAUCCAUUAGUAGAGACAUCAAUCAAUGAAACCGAAAGAGUGAUUUUUGGCAAAACGCAGAGUAUAAAUAAAGAGGGACACGUGUCGGCAUUACAUGAUUUGACUUUCUGACCUGGAUGCUGAGGUGGCAUCACAGGAGGGAGGCAAACAUUUUUAUAUAUAUAUAGAUUUAUUUUAUUUUUAAAACAGAGAAUGGUUGAGAUUAGAAUACCUUUAAUCCAAGGGUUGUGUUGAGACAAUAUUGAUUUUGAAUCGAACUCUCAGCAACCCGAGGAGAAAACGCAUUGUAAUAAUUAUAUCAGCAAAUGCUAAAUUGUUUUCAGGUUGGCUUUAGUUAUAUAUAUUAAUUUAUU